AUUGAACGCUGGCGGCGUGCUUAACACAUGCAAGUCGAGCGGAAAGGCCACUUCGGUGGUACUCGAGCGGCGAACGGGUGAGUAACACGUGAGUAAUCUGCCCCUGGCUUUGGGAUAGCCACCGGAAACGGUGAUUAAUACCGGAUACGACCACUUCUCGCAUGGGAUGGUGGUGGAAAGUUUUUUCGGGCAGGGAUGUGCUCGCGGCCUAUCAGCUUGAUGGUGAGGUAAUGGCUCACCAUGGCUUCGACGGGUAGCCGGCCUGAGAGGGUGACCGGUCACACUGGGACUGAGACACGGCCCAGACUCCUACGGGAGGCAGCAGUGGGGAAUAUUGGACAAUGGGCGGAAGCCUGAUCCAGCAACGCCGCGUGAGGGAUGACGGCCUUCGGGUUGUAAACCUCUUUCAGCAGGGACGAAGCGCAAGUGACGGUACCUGCAGAAGAAGCACCGGCCAACUACGUGCCAGCCGCCGCAGUAA
rnacentral:rRNA from 1 species